UUGGGAAUCUUAGGCAAUGGGCGAAAGCCUGACCUAGCGACGCCGCGUGAGGGAAGAAGGCCUUCGGGUCGUAAACCUCUGUCAUGGGGGACGAAGGAAGUGACGGUACCCCAAGAGGAAGCCCCUGCUAACUACGUGCCAGCAGCCGCGGUAAUACGUAGGGGGCGAGCGUUAUCCGGAAUUAUUGGGCGUAAAGGGCGAGUAGGCGGUCUGUUAAGUCAGGUGUGAAAUUUCAGGGCUCAACCCUGAAACUGCGCUUGAAACUGGCAGGCUAGAGGACAGGAGAGGGAAGUGGAAUUCCCGGUGUAGCGGUGGAAUGCGUAGAUAUCGGGAGGAACACCAGUGGCGAAGGCGGCUUCCUGGACUGUACCUGACGCUGAGGAGCGAAAGCUGGGGGAGCAAACAGG
rnacentral:rRNA from 1 species